CAAAAAGUCGAAAGUUUAUCUGUUAACCCUACAACUGUCGUAGUUAUAGUUCAACUGAGAUGCAAAAUCUAUGGAAACUAAGGACACCUCAAAGUUGAAUGCAAUAUUUUAGCUGAAUCAAAUCCAUAUCAGGUCAAUUAUGCCCAAGGAAACCCUUACUCAAACACUUAUAACCCUGGAUGGAGGAAUCACCCAAACUUUUACUAUAAGAAUAACAACCUUACUUAGAACUCUACACC
rnacentral:lncRNA from 1 species